rnacentral:rRNA from 1 species
CUUGAAACACGGACCAAGGAGUUUAUAGUGUACGCGAGUCUUAAGGUAAUUAAACCUAAUAGGCGUAAUGAAAGUAAAAGAAAUUUUAUUUUCUGAUGGAAGAUAUGCAAUAUUUUUUAAAUAUUUAAAAAGUUGCAUCGCAUUCCUGGGGCGCUUUAAAUUCAUUAUUGAAUUGAGGCGCACCAAUAGCGUACACAAUAAUACCCGAAAGAUGGUGAACUAUGCCUGGCCAGGACGAAGCCAGGGGAAACCCUGGUGGAGGUCCGAAGCGAUUCUGACGUGCAAAUCGAUCGCCGGAGCUGGGUAUAGGGGCGAAAGACCAAUCGAACCAUCUAGUAGCUGGUUCUCUCUGAAGUUUCCCUCAGGAUA